rnacentral:rRNA from 1 species
GUACACGCUGUGACUAGCAUAUCAAUAAGCGGAGGAAAAGAAACUAACAAGGAUUCCCCUAGUAACGGCGAGUGAAGCGGGAAGAGCUCAAAUUUGAAAUCUUAAAGGGUUUCCCUUUACGAAUUGUAGUUUAAAGAAGUGUUUUCUGUUGAGGUUUUGGUAAAAGUUCUUUGGAAUAGGACAUCAUAGAGGGUGAGAAUCCCGUAUUUGACCUUUACUUUCAACUUUGUGAUACACUUUCAAAGAGUCGGAUUGUUUGGGAAUGCAGUCCAAAAUGGGUGGUAAAUUUCAUCUAAAGCUAAAUAUUGGCGAGAGACCGAUAGCGAACAAGUACCGUGAGGGAAAGAUGAAAAGAACUUUGAAGAGAGAGUUAAACAGUACGUGAAAUUGUCAAAAGGGAAGCGUUUGACACCAGUGUUGUUUUUCUGAAAAUCAAUUAAAGAACUGUUUAUGCUAAGUUGUUUAGACUUUAUCAGCUAACUGUUUAGUUUUGAGCUUUUCUUUAAUGCACUUUUCAGUUAACAAGUCAACAUCAAUUUCUUUUGCUGUAAAAAAGCUUGAGGAAGGUGGCUUGAGAUUCGUCUUAAGUGUUUAUAGCCUCUUGCCUAUGCAGUCGGAGAGAUUGAGGUCUGACAGCGUAGAUCCUUCGGGGCUAAAUGCAUUUGUGCUAAGUUAUAGCAUUUCAUAGACAACUUGUUGACUAUGAUUUGUCUUGCAGCUUACUCGCUUAUGUUAUUUUACCUACGCUUAGGAUGUUGACAGCAGUAUAGACUGU